CAAACUAUCAGUACCGCAGUAUGUCAUAUCUCUUUCUCUUCAGAUAACAUAAGCCAAAUAUCAAUAUUUUUUAUGACAACAGGUGGGCCAUCCAAACAGAUUCCCCUGAUUUGUGUUAACAUAGUCCAUACUUAUUAACUCCUCACUGUGUAAACUUCUGUAAACUAAAUUAACACGUAUUGAAGAGAAUAUAGUGUAUCAUAGUUGUAUCCGUCCUUUAAAAAAUUUAACAAAACUGUUCUACUUUCUGGCAGUUCAGCUCUUGCCACUUUAAAGCAAUUUUACAUUGGAGUGAUGUGACACAUGGACAUGGAGAAGCUGCAGUCAGUGAUAAAGAGGCACUAAGCUGAGACCUUAUGUACUUCUUGCACAUUGCUUCAUCUAACUACAUUCCUAGAUACAUUUUGUCCUGGAAAGAGAAGCUGUGAAGUUACUGCUGUUGAGUAAGAGGGAACUGUAAAUCUAGUGUUAAGCAUUCUGAGAGGAAGGUUAGCUGUAAUAUUUAAUCUUGCCUAGAUACUUUUGGGGUAAACUGUUGUGAUUCUGUUGAACAGAGUAUUGACAGGCAGUUUCACCCAAGUCACCUGAGAACAAUAGGCUUAGGAGCAGGGUGGAGCCAAGUCAGCAAAAAAAUAGCAGCCAGUGCUCACCUGUUCAGAUACAUUUUGUCCAGGAAAGAGAAGCUGUGACAUUACUGCUGAAACAUGGCUCCAGGAAAAUAUCCCAGAUGCGGCCAUACAGCUGGAGGCGAUGACGACUUUCUAAGUGAAAAGAGAUGCAGCUACCGCUGGUAAAAGUAGAGGAGGGGGCCUGUGCACCUAUAUUAACAAAGACUGGUGUGAAUCAUGGGGUGGAGCCUCUACCUAUAAGAGCAGGUCUUCCUGCAGUGUUUGGGCUCUCUCUCAUCUCAGGGGUGCUUCCAUGCCACCUGUCGCGCCUGCCAUUUUCCUGCUUUUGUUUUGUUUUCACAUUUUUGGUUUCCUUUAAAUUCCCUGUUUAAUACCAUUUUGGUGAAUAAAUACCCCUAGACAUGUGUUCCUUUU